AUGGCGUGGCGGCGGCCGCCCGGGGCCGGCGUUGGGGCCCGCGGCGCGCUGGCUCUGCUGGCCCUGACCCUGUGCGCGCGCGGGGCCCGGGGCCGGGCGCUCGAGUGGUACUCGGCCGUGGUGAGCACCGAGUACGUGGACCCACAAACGAACCGCACCGUGUGGAGCGUCUCGGAGAGCGGCCGCUUCGGCGACAGCUCGCCCAAGGAGGGCGCGCAGGGCCUGGUGGGCGUCCCGCGCGCGGCGGACCGCGACCCCGAGGGCUGCGCGCCCGACACGAGCUUCCUCGUGCCCGCGCCCGGCGGCCGGGGGACUGCGCCCUGGGUCGCCCUGGUGGCGCGCGGGGGCUGCACCUUCAAGGACAAGGUGGUGUUGGCGGCGCAGAGGAACGCCUCGGCCGUGGUCCUCUACAACGAGGAGCGCUAUGGGAACCUCACCGCUCCCAUGUCCCACGCGGGAACAGGAAAUAUAGUGGUCAUUAUGGUUAGCUACCCAAAAGGAAGAGAAAUAUUGGAUCUGGUGCAAAAAGGAAUUCCAGUCAAGAUGACCAUAGGGGUUGGCACCCGUCACGUGCAGGAGUUCAUCGGUGGCCAGUCCGUGGUGUUUGUGGCCAUUGCCUUCAUCACCAUGAUGAUUAUCUCAUUAGCCUGGCUAAUAUUUUACUACAUACAGCGUUUCCUCUAUACGAGCUCACAGUUUGGAAGUCAGAGCCAUAGAAAAGAAACUAAGAAAGUUAUUGGCCAGCUUCCUCUUCAUACUGUGAAACAUGGAGAAAAGGGAAUCGAUGUUGAUGCUGAAAAUUGUGCAGUGUGUAUUGAAAAUUUUAAAGUAAAGGAUGUUAUCAGAAUCCUGCCAUGCAAGCAUAUUUUUCAUAGAAUAUGCAUUGACCCAUGGCUUUUGGAUCACCGCACGUGUCCAAUGUGUAAACUUGAUGUCAUCAAAGCCCUGGGAUAUUGGGGAGAGCUUGAGGAUGAGCAGGAGCUGCCCACUCCAGAAUCGACCCCUGGAAGCGUUUUGGCUGCAAACUUGAGUAUUACUUUAGAAGAUGAUGACAGAAGUGAUGGGAGCAACUUGCCAUCGUCUUCCACUAAUGAGUCCGUGCCGCAGUGCGAUGCUACCUUUAAAGAAGAUGCGGGUGAAAACACAGCCUUACUAGAGACGGGCAGGAGCGACCCUCAGCGGGGAGGACCUGUCUGCUAGCACAUGUCCACUGCUGGAGUCAUGGACAGAGCUUCGGCUUGACUCAGAGGACACUUUAUUUUUACUUUAGCACAUAGUUUGUAUAUUUGAAAAUAAUGUACAUUCUUUUACUUUUCAGGUUCUGAUUUGAUAUGCAAAGGGCUAAGAUAUUUUAUUCUUAAAGAGACUUUUUGAUUAGUCUUUAUAUAUCAACUGAAAUAUAUCGUUAGGAUGAAUAUGUUGUUUCAGACCAUUGGGGAGGGGACAACCAGGAAGGCCUCCCCUGUAAAGGGCAGUGGUGGCUCUGAGUACUAGACAGCUACCACGGCGCUGUAGGAUUGAAGCGAACUCUGCUUCUCCAGGGUGCUUUUAGACUAGUUGAAGUGGAGUUGUGUAAUUAAAUGCAAUAAUUGAUCACGUGAAUUUCCCUAGAGGAAGGACUUUGUGAGUACAUUAAACUUAUAAAUGAGGUGAGCGAAGUCUGCAGCUUUCCUGCACCUCUGUAUUGCAUAGAGAGAUUUCACAACCUGAGAACACUUUUUAAUUAUUGUUUUCUAUUGGGAAUUAUGAGAAAAGCAUUAGAUGACUUUAGGAUUCCCAUAUUUCCCUUUUAUUACCUAAUUUCUUGUGACAUCUUGAAGAGGAGGCAAAUUUGUCCAUUUUUUCUAGAAAUAAAAAAGCUAAGAUUCUGUAUUGCAAUGAGUAUGAAUUUCUUCAUUGCCUUGUUAAGGAAAUCGAGUAGGCAGACUGAUUUUUUGGUAAAUGAUGAAUAUAUUGGUUCCAACUGCAACUUUACAAUUAAAACGGUGAUAGAUGGAGAAUUUUGAUUAUUGUAACAAAAUAAAUAAGUAACCAGUUUUCUUGAGUAACUUUAAAGGAAACUUACUGACCGUGACCUUGUUUAAUCAUCUGUCUUCUUUAAAAACUCACUUGGUGUUCUUAGUUGUAGGUGAAAGGAGCAGGCUAAUGGAGAUCUCGUGCAGACUGAGUUUUAUAUAAAGUGAUUAAAUAAACACUCUCACUCUGUUCUCUCACUUCUAGGAGGUGGGAGUCAAGGAUGAUGAAGGAGGUAUUUUUUUAGAACUUGAAAUUGUAGUCUUUGUAACUUCUAAACUAGUUACUGUGUAUGUCUUUAUAUUGUGGGUCAAAAUGAUUAUUGAGAAAAAUAGAGUUUUAAAAUUUUUAAAAAUUUAUUCUUAUAGCUGUAUCGAAGAUAGAAAGCUUAUCUAUCUAUAGCUUAUUUUCUUCAGUUUGCCUCACUUUGAUUCCAGCCACUCGUAGUGAAAUUACUUGGUAAGCAAAUAGUUUUACUGACGUCAACUCUGUGGCCAGACUCAAUUUGAGGAGCUACUGAAAUAGAAAAUUUGUCUUACUGUGAGCUCUUAUUUUAACAGACAGCUUCAAAGUAGGUUUCCAUAAUAGCCGUUAUGCUUGGAGUCAGCCUUCUGUGGUUUAUUGUGAAUAGGAAAAUAUGUCCUUGAUUCUAUACUAAGUAGAUUGUUUGCACUUUGUAUUUGAAGAAACAUACCAGCAAGAAAUGCUUUAAUCAAUUCUUCCCAGUAGCCAAUGAAACUGACUUUUAAAAAGAAUACUGUGACAGAUGAAGGAAGUGUGAUUUCUUAAUCUUGAUCAGCAGCUAACAAAUACAGCUUUCCUUAAUUCAGAAGUUUGAACACUAAAUUAUGAAUAGAAGAGAUUGGAAGAAUUGUAGUAGCCUCAUCUCUAGAAACACACAUCUUUAAUAGCAGAUAGAGAAGUUAGCAAGAGAAGAGACAACUCUUCAGUACUUCAAAAGGAAAAAGUUCCCUUUGUUAGGUUUUUUGUAGAUGGAAGUAAGCAUAAAGAAGGAUCAAAUGUUAACCAGAAUUUUUGCUGAAACAUAAAGUUGAUAAAAUGUGGGGAUUAUAGGGAAUGUAAAUGAAGAAAGGAUAGUAAAUCUGAGAGGUUUAGGGAAGGGUUAGUUAUAUUAUUUAUGGCAGUAAUCAUUUUCCUUCAACAAUUGUCAUAAAGGCCAUUUACUCACAAACAAUAGAGAAACAGUAUUUUUUAGCUCACAGCCGCAGCAGCGUGCGCAGGGCCGCGCGUCCGUGGGUGUGGAGCUCUCCUCGGCCCGUGGCCGCCUGCGCGCUGUGGCCAGAAGAGCGGACGGUCUGGAGCGGGGCAGACGCGCAGCACCCUGGCAGGUGAUAUGAAGAUAUUAAAGCUAGAAAUUGCAACUAGAAAAUCCACAGAAUUCAAGAUGUAUUUUUUAAAACAUGACAGUUACCUUGAACUCAUGUGAUUACACUUAAAAGUUGAUUGCAGAUACUGAAUCCCAGGAUUAUAGUUUCUUUUAUUUCAGGUAAACUUUCUUCUAUUUUAUGUUUACUGAAGAACCUUUUGCUGGUGUAAAUGUAAAUCUUGACUUUUUUUUUAAAUGAAAUGUUCUCUAACUA